rnacentral:rRNA from 1 species
GUGGGGAAUCUUGCGCAAUGGGCGAAAGCCUGACGCAGCCAUGCCGCGUGAAUGAUGAAGGUCUUAGGAUUGUAAAAUUCUUUCACCGGGGACGAUAAUGACGGUACCCGGAGAAGAAGCCCCGGCUAACUUCGUGCCAGCAGCCGCGGUAAUACGAAGGGGGCUAGCGUUGCUCGGAAUUACUGGGCGUAAAGGGCGCGUAGGCGGACAGUUUAGUCAGUGGUGAAAGCCCAGGGCUCAACCUUGGAAUUGCCUUUGAUACUGGCUGUCUUGAGUACGGGAGAGGUGAGUGGAACUCCGAGUGUAGAGGUGAAAUUCGUAGAUAUUCGGAAGAACACCAGUGGCGAAGGCGACUCACUGGCCCGUUACUGACGCUGAGGCGCGAAAGCGUGGGGAGCAAACAGGAUUAGAAACCCUAGUAGUCC